rnacentral:lncRNA from 1 species
ACUUAAGACUUUUAUAAAGUCCUUCUCCCUCAGCUGGAGGGAGCAUGGCAUUGAGCCAAGGAGACGGGACCCUCUGCUUUGUCCUCCUGCUGUGCUGCUGGCAAGAAGUGAAGACCUGGCCAAUAAGAAUGAAUUCAGGCUCAAGUUCUGGACUGCUGUCAAGUUAGUCAAGUUUUAAAAAUAUGGAUGACGAUAUGACCACAGUAUUUGGUAAGGAAGCCCCUCCUAUCAACCUCUGGCCUGUACAUGAAGGGGGCUGGAUGGUUGUCUGUGGCUUUUUCCCAGAUAACCUGGUACCAACUGCAGACAGUGGAGGGAACUGAUUGGUUUGGGGCUAGAAUCAUAUUCCAAUGGCCCAUAGCUUUACUGCUGACAUCUAAGAGUCAAACUCUCAAGAAAUUAAGGAAGACAGAAUUUUAGACCAUUACGCCUAAAAAGUGCCUGGGAGCCUUGCUUCUCAAAGUGAGGUCCAAGGACCCUCAGCAUCUGCAUCACCUGGUUUGGGGAGCUUGUUAGAAACGCCCAGCGGCAAGCCGGACCCAGCCCUCCAGCACCAGCACUGCAUUCAACCUGAUGCCACCGAUUCCUGUGCACCUGAGAGGCCCAUGGCUGAGCCGUC